rnacentral:rRNA from 1 species
UACGGAGGGGACUAGCGUUGUUCGGAUUUACUGGGCGUAAAGGGCGCGUAGGCGGUUUGUUAAGUUAGAAGUGAAAGCCUGGGGCUUAACCCCAGAACUGCUUCUAAAACUGGCAGACUAGAGUGUGGGAGAGGAUAAUGGAAUUCCUAGUGUAGAGGUGAAAUUCUUAGAUAUUAGGAGGAACACCGGUGGCGAAAGCGAUUAUCUGGAACACAACUGACGCUGAGGCGCGAAAGCGUGGGGAGCAAACAGG